ACAAACUUGGUCAUUUAGAGGAAGUAAAAGUCGUAACAAGGUUUCCGUAGGUGAACCUGCGGAAGGAUCAUUACCGGGUAUCAGGGGCUCCGGCCCCGCUCCCACACCCUCUGCAAACCCUUCGACGACCCCAUGGCAAAAGGUCGCGCGGGGGGACCCUUUAGGGGGCCCUUCCCACUGACCUGCCAGCCAACCAAAACUCUGCCUGGAAACCUGUGUUCUGAGCACUACUAUGAAAAUAGCGAAAAACUUUCAACAACGGAUCUCUUGGUUCUGGCAUCGAUGAAGAACGCAGC
rnacentral:misc_RNA from 1 species